UCCCGACGGGCGGCGGCGUCGGCCCGGCCCCGCGGACGGGGACAGCGCCCAGGAGCCUAAAGCGGCGGCCCGAGUGCGACGAGUAUUUGCUGCGUGAACAGGCGCUGUGUGUGUCUCUUCCUCUCCGCCGCUGUUUUUCCGCCUGUCUGUCUGCCUCCCGCUCAGGUUUCCCGAGGAAGGACGGCCGGGGUGGGGGGCGGGGUGCACCCCCGCUCCCCGGAAGUCUGGGCCUCAGCGCCCACAUCCCGCCCCCUGGAGGCGGCUCUCUGGGCCCCCAUCCUGGGCGAAACUGAAGGCCCCGGGGAGGGCCCCGGCGACCCUGGCUCCUGCCCCCGCCGCGCCCUCCGUUUCUCAUCCGGAGGAGAAGCGGGGCCCUUCAGGGGAGAAAGUGACAACCCUCUUAGCGAUCCGGACGCGUGGAAAUGAGCCCCCCUUCCUGAGGCGGACGCCGCGGCGGCCCUGGACGGUCAUCCGGUCCUACUGACCCUGGGCCCUCCGGGCUGUAUUAAAUAUCUGCAUUUCUCGGUGUCCCAUGUGCUCUAGGGAAUGCUGCCCCCACUCCCUGGCUCCCGCAUCCCUUCCCCUCUCCCUUCUCCUUCCCUCCCCUCCCUCACCCUCUCUCCCUCUUUGCAAAAUUAAUAUUGAUACUGUGUGACUAUCCAAGCUACAAACUUUAUUUUCACCGAUGGGCCAAGUAAUGCCCUUUAGAGCAAAACAAAACAAACCAAUCGCCUCCGUGCCAGCCUCUCCAGUCUCCUUUAAACUGGAAGAGCUCUUCUUUCUGUCUUUUGUGACCUUGACACUGUCCCUGAUUCGCUUAAGAGGACCAGUGAGCUGUUGCCUGGAAUGCUUCUCAACUCGGGUACACCUGACUCUUCCCUGUGAUUAGAUUUGGGUUGUACGCGUUUGGCAGGAAGCCCACAGACCUUACCGUGGUGUCGCAUCAAUUCUGUCCAGAGAGACCCCAUCAGGACACGCAGCCCGAGAAUCCAUCCCACGGCGGGGACACCCACUGACCGCCUGGCUGAGGCAGAGUCAGCCUGGGGGGCUCCUGGGCAGUUACAUUUUGUCCCUUUGUAAUUGGUGAGCGUCCUGUGAAGAGCUAGUUGCGGACUGAGAAGUGUGCUGCCUUGCUCUUUUGAGAGUUUCCAGAAGCAUCUUUCCAGGUAUAAAGAUAGGUAUGGAUAUACAUAUGUAUGCACAUUUACACAUAUGCAUACCAUUUACACAAACACACACUUUAUACGUACACAGACCCCUUUAUAUAAACGUAAACGUACACAUUUAUAUAUACAUACAUUUACAUAUACACAUACCCAUAUACACACACACAAUUACAUAUAUGUGUGUACACAUACACACAUACCCAUUUAUAUAAAUGUAUGAUAUACACAUUUACAUGCAUAUAUAUUCAUAUACUUACAAAACAUUUACAUAUGCAUAACACAUAUACAUACAUGUUCGCAUACACAUGCAUAGCACCUACGUAUGCAUAUGUACAUAUUUACAUACACCUAUACAUAGAUAUUUGCAUACACGUAACAUUUACAUACGAGUAUUCUCUCCGGCUCUUCCUGGAAAAGCCCCCAGCCUUGGCCAUUGCUGUGUCGCCCUGGCACCACGAGGGGGCGCAAGCAGGACGGCCCUGACCCCAGAAGGCAAACAGCAGCCAGAAACUGGUAAGGGGCCCCAGUCCCGUGCUCCCACUUACGUGCCCCUGUGCUGCGAUUAAGCCGAUCUGAAUUGGUUUUUUU